rnacentral:rRNA from 1 species
UGGGGAAUCUUGCGCAAUGGGCGAAAGCCUGACGCAGCGACGCCGCGUGAGUGAUGAAGGCCUUCGGGUUGUAAAGCUCUGUGGGGAGAGAAGAAUAAGUGCGGGCUAAUACCCCGCAUGAUGACGGUAUCUCCUUAGCAAGCACCGGCUAACUCUGUGCCAGCAGCCGCGGUAAGACAGAGGGUGCAAACGUUGUUCGGAAUUACUGGGCGUAAAGCGAGUGUAGGCGGUUUGGUAAGUCGGAUGUGAAAGCCCCGGGCUCAACCCGGGAAGUGCAUUCGAUACUGCCAAGCUAGAGUAUCGGAGAGGUUGGUGGAAUUCUCGGUGUAGAGGUGAAAUUCGUAGAUAUCGAGAGGAACACCGGUGGCGAAGGCGGCCAACUGGACGAAUACUGACGCUGAGACUCGAAAGCGUGGGGAGCAAACAGGAUUAGAUACCCAUGUAGUCCCUGAGCGGGCUGGCAAGGCGCAU